rnacentral:rRNA from 1 species
UACGUAGGGACCGAGCGUUGUCCGGAAUCAUUGGGCGUAAAGAGCGUGUAGGCGGCCAACUAAGUCCUGCGUGAAAUCUCGGGGCUCAACCCCGAGCGGUCGUGGGAAACUGGUUGGCUAGAGUGCGGGAGAGGAGAGUGGAAUUCCUGGUGUAGCGGUGAAAUGCGCAGAUAUCAGGAAGAACACCCGUGGCGAAGGCGGCUCUCUGGAACGCAACUGACGCUGAGACGCGAAAGCCAGGGGAGCAAACGGG